CCUUCGGCAUGCAGCGAUAUUUUCUGGGGCUUUUGGGAGGAAAAGGGGAUCGAGAAAAGCACAACCAUGAAGCUCUUUGGCAAGCACGUAUUCCCUGGCCAAAUCGUGCUCGCGGCAUCUGGGCUUCUCUUCUUGGCAUCAACAACGUACGACGUGCAUAGGUCGACAAAGAAUAACGAGAGGCCCCCGUCAAAGGAACAAAUCCAAGCCCUUGCAGACUACCUCAGAUCUAGACGCGAAUCUCCUUGAUUUUGUGAUCGAAGCCGGUUCUUCUACAAGGCUAUUCACCUGUGUGUAAAAAGAUAUUCCGCUAUGGACUAAAGAUAUUCAACUACUUGUUUAUUUCUUCGUUCACUUG